rnacentral:ribozyme from 1 species
CUUAAGGGUUGAGUUGCAUCAACCCUAAGUGUUUAAUGUAGCCAGCGUAAGCUGAGAGUCCAAAGCCUCUACAAAUACAGAUGGAACA